GCUGGGUGUGGUGGCGCACACCUGUAGUCCCAACUACCCAGGAGGCUGAGGCAGAAGAAUCGCUUGAACCCAGGAGGUGGAGGUUGCAGUGAGCCGAGAUCAUGGCACUGCACUUUAGCCUGGGUGACAGAGUGAAACUCAGUCUCAA
rnacentral:SRP_RNA from 1 species